CUGAAUCUCUUUCCCAACGCCCACCGGUUGGAGCUUUCUUUUUCAGGGAAACAGUGCCCAUCUCAAAGUGGGUACUGUUCGAGUAUUAUUUUGGCUGGAGAUGCUGACACAACAGGACUUAUUGAGGUGCAAGAAAUGGCUACGUUGCUGUUCUACAUUUAUUUCUUCAUGUGUCUGAUGUUGAGAGAUGCUCAAACUACAACCAUAGAAAAUCACCAUCCUCGUAAUCAUGCAAUGAUUUUGUUGAGAGGAUGAACGACUCCGAAGUAGAGGGGUUCUGAGUGGAUUCAUGGAGUUACCGCUUGAAUUCAUUGAAAGAUUCUGGGCGUGUCAGGAUUAAUCUCAAACUCUGGAUUAUAGCUCCAUUCAUACAUCAUAAUGGGAAUCACUCAAAAACCUGUUGGUCUCUCCCAGAGGUAACAGAGGUUAGUGGUUUAAUUUCUCAAAAAGCUAAUGAUACUAUUAAUGCCCUGUUUUGGGCCUAAUGCAGCCAAAUUUAUGAGUUAUAUGCUUCUCAAAAACUCAACAUUUUUUUACCAAACCAUUAUUCAAAUUCCUCCUCCACCUUCAUUUGCAGUA